rnacentral:lncRNA from 13 species
UUUUCUGGAGAGAAAAUGAAGGGAAGCUCCCUUCCAUGCUCCCUGGCCAUUUGGAAAUCCAGAAAGCACCGAGUCAAGGCUUCCUGCUGCAUUGUCUGCCUUUUUCAUUGUAUCAGUGUUUGUUUACCAUGGGUGCUCUUUGUGCUCCAUUUAGAAAAUCCUUGAUGAGGCUGGCAUGGUGGCUCACUCCUGUAAUUCCAGCACAUUGGGAGGCCAAGGUAGGCAGAUCAUGAUGUCAGGGGAUUGAGACCAUCCUUGCCAACAUGGUGUACCUGUCUCUUCUAAAAAUAAAAAAUUAUCUGGGUGCUUGUAAUCCUAGCUACUAGGGAGGCUGAGGCAGGAGAAUUGCUUGAACCCAGGAGGUGGAGAUGCAGGGAGCUGAGACCACACCACUGCACUUCAGUCUGGCGACAGAGCGAGACUCUGUCUCUAAAUAAAUACAUAAAUAAAAGAAAAAAGAAAAAAAAAAGAAAAUCAUUGAUGAACUUAAUGUCAUGAAGACAUUCUCUUACAUUUUCCUUAUGAGUUUUGUGAUUUUUCCCUUUCACAGGUAGGUCUAUAGUACACUGGAAUGGAGUUUUGCAUAUUGUGUGGAGUGCAGACCCAGUUUUGCACACGUAGAAAUCCUAUUGACCUAGCACAUCAAUUUGGAAGAAGGACCAACUGCGUUGUACUACAGGAUCGCUUUUGUGAAGGAUCAGGUGGUUUUGAUGCUGGUUGUGGUAACAACGUGCUGCAAUGUGCUGUCUCCUAUGGGCUGGAAUGGAAGAGGCCUCAUGAAACAUCUUGCUCCCCAGUGUUGUGAAUUAUGAAAAUUAAGCCUUCCUGUCCUCUUCAGUAUGCAUGGUGGAGCUGAACUGUGAACUUUCCCUUCACUGACCAUUUACACUGUGAGACCAUGCCAACCAUCCAUCGGUGUGGACUCACACGCCUUCCCUACACAGAGCUUAGUUGCUGAAAUUUAGACAGCCGCGCCCAGGGACUUCAGCUCUGACAUUAAGGUGUGUGUUUUAGCCUCGCCAAAGGGGAGCAAGAGGAUUUCUCCAUCAAACAAAGAGGUCAGCUCUCCAAAGCAUCUAUAAAACCAAAGUCAAGCUUGCUAUUUUGCUGUUCUGUUUAGCCAAGACCUAUAUGUUCUUUCAGUUCCCACCAGGAAACACUGUGUUUCUGGGAAAUUGCACCAUGGAUUCUGUUGACUGCCGCAGUUUCUCUGCCUUAAUGUCCUGAAGGAAUACGUUCUUCACCAGAGAUCCACAGAAGGACUUCAGAUGCCUUAGGAAAUGCUAUGCAAAGUCUGUGGCCAUAAUAUGCAGUCUUUGGAGAGAGAGUCUGGAAUUUUUUCAGUGCCAGUUCCUCUGCCUCCCACUGAAGCACAGAUGUAUCAACAAAAAUAUUAAAAUGCACAAAUCUUACUCCCUAAAGCAAAGUGUGUGGUUUGCUUCUGAUGCUUGUGACACUGGUAUACCUGGUGAGUGGAAGGACUGAUGCUGUGACCAUGUGUUGGUGGCUGCAUCUGCCCUUACGCCCUGCAAUUAAAACUGUGAACUUCAAGAUGGGAAGGGCCAUGCCACCCUCUUCCAUCAGUGAUCCGGUUUUUCUUAACAAAUUGUUGUUGAAUUGAGAUUUUUCAUGCUUGCUGGAGCUUGGUGAAGGAGCCAGUCCUUGGCAAUAGUUCCUGCUGCUAUAUGCUAGUCUUGCCCGAAAUAGAACUGAGUUUUAGCUAAACGGCCAGCAGUUUGUCACGUGCAAAAUAAGCAAGAUAAGUCCACAGGCAGAUCCAAACAGAAUUUAAGAAAUAAAUGCAAUGCCGCUGACCCUGCCCUUUACUAA